rnacentral:rRNA from 1 species
CCGUAACUAUAACGGUCCUAAGGGAGCGAAAUUCCUUGUCGGGUAAGUUCCGACCUGCACGAAUGGCGUAAUGAUGGCCAGGCUGUCUCCACCCGAGACUCAGUGAAAUUGAACUCGCUGUGAAGAUGCAGUGUACCCGCGGCAAGACGGAAAGACCCCGUGAACCUUUACUAUAGCUUGACACUGAACAUUGAGCCUUGAUGUGUAGGAUAGGUGGGAGGCUUAGAAGUGUGGACGCCAGUCUGCAUGGAGCCGACCUUGAAAUACCACCCUUUAAUGUUUGAUGUUCUAACGUUGACCCGUAAUCCGGGUUGCGGACAGUGUCUGGUGGGUAGUUUGACUGGGGCGGUCUCCUCCUAAAGAGUAACGGAGGAGCACGAAGGUUGGCUAAUCCUGGUCGGACAUCAGGAGGUUAGUGCAAUGGCAUAAGCCAGCUUGACUGCGAGCGUGACGGCGCGAGCAGGUGCGAAAGCAGGUCAUAGUGAUCCGGUGGUUCUGAAUGGAAGGGCCAUCGCUCAACGGAUAAAAGGUACUCCGGGGAUAACAGGCUGAUACCGCCCAAGAGUUCAUAUCGACGGCGGUGUUUGGCACCUCGAUGUCGGCUCAUCACAUCCUGGGGCUGAAGUAGGUCCCAAGGGUAUGGCUGUUCGCCAUUUAAAGUGGUACGCGAGCUGGGUUUAGAACGUCGUGAGACAGUUCGGUCCCUAUCUGCCGUGGGCGCUGGAGAACUGAGGGGGGCUGCUCCUAGUACGAGAGGACCGGAGUGGACGCAUCACUGGUGUUCGGGUUGUCAUGCCAAUGGCACUGCCCGGUAGCUAAAUGCGGAAGAGAUAAGUGCUGAAAGCAUCUAAGCACGAAACUUGCCCCGAGAUGAGUUCUCCCUGACUCCUUGAGAGUCCUGAAGGAACGUUGAAGACGACGACGUUGAUAGGCCGGGUGUGUAAGCGCAGCGAUGCGUUGAGCUAACCGGUACUAAUGAACCGUGAGGCUUAACCUU